AUUCUUCUUCUUGAAUGUAUCUAUGGUAUUGGCACCCACGACAUGACUGCCAAGCCUGUUCCAAGCCUAUCUCUGUUUUUAUUUCACCUCUACACUCUCAUGCAGUCUAUCUUUCUGUCUAUCUGUCACAUUUGCACUCCCCGGAAAGAAGAAUCCACCAAGGCCUUCUUACCCCCAAAAUAUAUUAUCCACCCCGCCCUUGUAACGACCGAUUAACUGUAAUUUCUUGAUGGAUAGCCGAGCGCUGUGCACCAAUUAUCAGUUUGUGCUCCGUCAUCAUCAUCAUCAUCAACAACAUCAAUGGGCUGAGGUUUUAUGGGGUCGUCGAUAAGGGGGAACUUGUGAAUGAUGUAUGCUUCAAAUAUUUUCUUCCUGGUUACUGGCUUGUGAAUUGUGGGUCAUGGUUUGCGUGGGAAUAAUAUUGUUUUAGGAUCUGGAAAUGAAGAUAAAAAGAGUAAGUUUAAAUAUAAGGAUUGAAGGAUAAAAUGUACUGUGAGUAAACAAUAAGAAAUAGUGGUUUACGAAUUUUAGGUCUUGAUAUGGAGGGAAUUUUUUAUCUUUUUUGUGCAGGGAAACAGAGACGGAUAGGGAAGAUAGGGAAGAGAAAGAAGAAAGAGGAACAGAAGGGCAGAAAAAUAGGGAAGAAAAAG